UCGGACAUAGUGUACGGUACAUGACCUCUGCGGAUGCCACUGCCAGCCAGUGCUUCGAGGUAGUCCGGGGUUCGAUUCCCCGUGUCCGAC